rfam:Ricinus communis cultivar Hale ctg_1100012356650, whole genome shotgun sequence.
GAAAGUCGUGUGCAAUGAAAAAUGCAAGCACGGCUUGGAGAUGGAUUUUUUUUACCUAUUUUUUAACAAACAAUGAAAAUUUCUACUCUAU